GUAUAGGGGUGUGGGUGGUAACGCGGGGAAGUGAAACAUCUUAGUACCCGUAGGAAGAGAAAACAAGUGUGAUUCCGUGAGUAGUGGCGAGCGAAAGCGGAGGAGGCUAAACCGUGUGUGUGUUCAAGCCGGCAGGUGUUGCAUGUGCGGGGUUGUGGGGGCCUUGUGGUUCUGCUGCCGCAGGAUUGGCCAGUGAGAAAUGUUGCGUGAAGGUGAAGCGUCUGGGAAGGCGUACCGGAGUGGGUGAG
rnacentral:rRNA from 1 species